AACGAACGCUGGCGGCAUGCCUAACACAUGCAAGUCGAACGAAGCCUUCGGGCUUAGUGGCGCACGGGUGCGUAACGCGUGGGAAUCUGCCCUUUGGUUCGGAAUAACAGUUGGAAACGGCUGCUAAUACCGGAUGAUGACGAAAGUCCAAAGAUUUAUCGCCAGAGGAUGAGCCCGCGUAGGAUUAGCUAGUUGGUGUGGUAAAGGCGCACCAAGGCGACGAUCCUUAGCUGGUCUGAGAGGAUGAUCAGCCACACUGGGACUGAGACACGGCCCAGACUCCUACGGGAGGCAGCAGUGGGGAAUAUUGGACAAUGGGCGAAAGCCUGAUCCAGCAAUGCCGCGUGAGUGAUGAAGGCCCUAGGGUUGUAAAGCUCUUUUACCUGGGAUGAUAAUGACAGUACCGGGAGAAUAAGCCCCGGCUAACUCCGUGCCAGCCGCCGCGGUAA
rnacentral:rRNA from 1 species